rnacentral:misc_RNA from 1 species
AGGUUGCCAUGAAGAAGAUGACACUAUGUGUUAUAAGUUACGAGCAUGAGCGGGUACGAAAUGUGAACAGAUUAGUCGAAUAGAGAGCUGUGUGAAGAGAGCGAUGCGACGGCGAGAGUAGAGAAAAAAGAACAAAGAAAACUGUGUAGUUUAUUUCAUUUAUAUAUAUAUAUCCUAAAAACAUUGUAUGUUUUAUUCGAUUUCAUUUAAUUUCUAUAUGAAACGAGAAAUAUACUACAGUUCAUGGUUAACUGUAUCGUCUAUAUCGGCAUCGACAAGAGUUAAAACUUCUUAAUCACGCUAUAUGAACUUCUCUAAUAUUUUACUUUUAUCACUAUUUAACUGUGUAUGCACUUUCAGCCCUAGAAUUUGAUUCUGAAGCAUAUUUCGUUUAUUUAAGAAUUAUAUUUUAAGUAAUGAAGUUAUUAAAAUAAUAUGAAAGUAAUGGAGUUAUUUGAUUGUAGCAGAUCAUAUUCUGAUAAUAUUAUUUCUACUCAGUGAUAUCUAUGAAUAAUUAAUUAAAUAUUAAUAUUAAAAAACUAUUUAUAUUAUCUAAUAUUUUUUAAUUCACGCUCAUUUUGAUUAUAUUUCCUAAAUAUAUACAUAUACCUACAAGUACAAAAUUUAGUAUAAAUAACGUCAUAUCUUAAAAAUGUACUAAAUAAUGGAAAUUUCUGAAUGAUUUUAAAUAAUAUAUUAAUCGUUUCCAUGC